AAGGACGAAGUAAACGGAGCGUUCUGAACGGCGCGAGCGCGCGAGGCGCGUGACCCGAGGUAUGGUCGAGGGAGAAACAGCACUGAGCGAGCAUUAUCGACGUGGCUCCGGGCCAGGAAGGUCGCAUCGCCAGCUCCGCUCUGGCGACGGGAGACUUGGGGGUCUGGCCGAGUCCGUGACGCGGGCGGUCCAAGGUGUGGCCGUCGACCUCGGCAAGUUCGAGUGAGGCUCCUGGACUGGCUGCAGCCUCUCACGGCAGGACCGGGCACCCCAGAGAGGACCCCUCUUCCACGGCAGACCGGCACGUUUGACGAUCCCCGGAACGCCACGUCGGCACUCGGGAAAGGAGCUGGACGGAAGCGGUGGCCGAGCACGUCGCUAGGCCUAACCCGUCAAGCCUUCCGGCCACGUCAGCAACAGCGACCGGGUUAUACAGGCUUCGGAGGCGAACAAGUUCAAGGACCGACUGCAAGGCAGCCACGACUAUGCGACAGUCGGCGAAAGCAACGACUUUAAGAAAGGUCCAACGAAAUCCCCACCGGGAGAAUACGAGCAACGAGUACGAACGGAGUAAGGACGAUCCAUUCUUGUAGUAGGCCAGAGUUGCCAGACGUUUGUGUAGGAAACGCCCAGAAUCAGUGUGGUCGGAAUUAAGGACACGUUUAGUGAUUAUUAAGGGUUAGGUUGUACAUGUGUUAGUAUUUUUCCUGCAGCGUGUUUUAGUGUGCUUAAGUUUAUGGUUAUGAAUUUAUUAGGUUCAUUUAUUUGUUUAGUGUAGUGUGAGUUCUUAGUUUGAGGUUUUUGGGUUUUGUGUGAGAUUAAAAUCUGCUUGCUGUGU